rnacentral:tRNA from 1 species
GGAUAGAUCAGUUGGUGGAGCAUGAGACUCUUAAUCUCAGGGUUGUGGGUUUGAGCCCCACACUGGGUGAAAUA